rnacentral:lncRNA from 1 species
UUUAACGGCGGCCAGCGUCGCUGACUAUCUCGAGUCUUUCCUUGUUUAAAAUUUUGCAGGACAUGUGCGGCAAUGUGGAGGCCGUCCUCUCGGCCGCCCUGGCGAAGUGGGAGGUGAUCCUCUGUUCAUCAGCUCGCUUGAGUCCGAUCUAUGCCCGAGUUCUGUCGGAUCCUUUUCUCCGGCGCAUGAUCACCAGGUACCUCGCGAUGAACAGAAUUUCCGCCAAGAUUUAAUCUUCUUUUAUUGGAUAAUAACAGGUCCUCGUGAGUUGACUUUAUAUUUUUCUGGGAUCGAUCUUUGUCUCCGUCGAUGAUUCAUCUGCACGAAGAAUUCUCUACUUUAUCAGGAGAUCAGAUCAGCGCCGCGAUUCAAAACUUGGUUAUAUAUAUAUAUCAUAUUUCAAAGAAAUUACUUAAACGCCGCAACGUUCUUCGCAGGUUCAUCUUCUGCCGAUCCGCGCUAUCUCUGUUCCGGCGCGGAGGGGACGGAGGGGAGGAGUACCUGCCGGAGUGCUCGCCGGAGCUCCCGGAGGCCGUCUCGCCGGAGUCGUCGGCGGUGCAGUCGGGGCUCCGGCAGGUGGCGGAGGGCCUCGGCGUCGCCGGCUGCUUCCGCUUUUCGGAGGGAUCUACUUGGAAGAGAGAGCUGUAAAUUUCCGUUUGAGCUGUAGAUAACGAUGCAGAUCGUUGAUCCCCUCCCCCCCCCGCCCCCAAUUUUUUGUCCACUGUCCGGCGAUUAUUGAUCGGCCAGGCGGCAGGUGGUCGCUAGGGUUUUAUUGAGGUCGAGGACCGCCCCCUCCCGCCUGUUGCUUCACCGCGACGGCGGUUCUCCGGCGGCCCGCGGUGGCGGCGCCGGCGGACCCGCUGGUGUGCGACUGGCCGUCUGGGUACUCUCUUUUCGUGCUCGUAUUUGAGUGAAUUCCCAUGUUUAUGGCCUCAAUCGACGUCUCCAUCUUCAGAGAGAGAGAGAGAGAGAGAGAGAGAGAGAGG